GACGGAGGAUGCAAGUGUUAUCCGGAAUCACUGGGCGUAAAGCGUCUGUAGGUGGUUUAAUAAGUCACCUGUUAAAUCUUGAGGCUCAACCUCAAAAUCGCAGUCGAAACUAUUAGGCUAGAGUAUAGUAGGGGUAAAGGGAAUUUCCAGUGGAGCGGUGAAAUGCGUAGAGAUUGGAAAGAACACCGAUGGCGAAGGCACUUUACUGGGCUAUUACUAACACUCAGAGACGAAAGCUAGGGUAGCAAAUGGG
rnacentral:rRNA from 1 species